UACAGAGGGUGCAAGCGUUAAUCGGAAUUACUGGGCGUAAAGCGUGCGCAGGCGGUUUUGUAAGCCGGAUGUGAAAUCCCCGGGCUUAACCUGGGAAUGGCAUUCGGGACUGCAAGGCUGGAGUGCGGCAGAGGAGACUGGAAUUCCUGGUGUAGCAGUGAAAUGCGUAGAUAUCAGGAGGAACACCGAUGGCGAAGGCAGGUCUCUGGGCUGACACUGACGCUCAUGCACGAAAGCGUGGGGAGCAAACAGG
rnacentral:rRNA from 1 species